GAAGGUUGCCAGCCAUAUACGAGUGGCUAUGGUGCACAGAUGGAUCUGUUGACUGAUUGUCGCAGAGUGCGAGACAUGAUUUUGCCCUUUCCAAACACAGUUGGGUAAUCAGAAUCCAAUCCAUGGCUGUUGAUGAUAAGAAGGAGAGUCUAUUUCCUGUAAGUGCUAACACAACAUCUGUUGAUCGUUACUCUACUGGCUGUUGUUUUCUGCACUGUAGAAUUUAGGUCCAUUUUCUCCUUACGAAUUUGGGACUGUACAGAUUUCCUAAUGUCUGUUGCUACAGAUCGGCUGUUGAACCUAAUUAUUCCUUCCAUCGCUACCAGCAGUUGUUUUCUGCCUUGAAAAUUUGGUUACCAACUUGGGACUGACCUAGUAAUUUCGAGUUCAUUCAUCAUUGCCUAAUGUCUGUUGCAAUGUGGAAUUUUGUUUACAAAUCCAGUCCAGGACUGUAGUUACUAGUUUGGAGUUCAUAUAGUGGCUGUUGCUACGGAUCGGUUGUUGAUGCGCCUUCAACGGCUUCUUCGUGUUAAAGCAGAUCGCUUGUUAACGACAGUAGGCUAUGAUUACGAACGAACAUGCUCCUUCAUCAUUCAAUAUUCUCUGUAUGUCAGUCUGUAUAAUUGACCCUCUAUGGCGAAUUGUGCACCUUUCAGCUCCUCAAUUGAUCAGAUUUCUUCAUGAAGAAGACGAAGAGUAUGCUAGUUUAGAUGCUUAUUGGCUCAAGUCUUUACCUCACGAGCUUCAAACUCUUUUGAUCAGUUUAUAUGACAGUAGAAAUUGGAGCAUUUUAGAUAGACAUAUGUGGGAUCAAGUGAAUAAAGAUGAACAAGUGAAAGAUAAAGUUAAACACAAAUUAGCUGCUUACUUUCCGGUUCUCAUUGAUGAAGCUCCAAGAAUCAAUGACGUUUUAGAAGAACUAAAGAUGGUGAUUGACGUAAUGCUAAUACUUUGUUGCGAGUUUAUGGAUUCGACCUAGGAAAUUUUCGUGUUUGAUGAUGUAUCAAGAAGAUUACUCAAGUGUGGAUUUACACAAAGGCAGCUUGAGCUACUCUCGUUGGCAGGAAGAUUACCAAUGAAACAGAAUGUUGAUGAGAAAGAAACCGUCGUUGGCUUUGAAGAGGACACGGUAAAGCUACUUGAGCGGCUAACCGGAUUCUGGAGGUCAUCCCGAUUGUAGGAAUGGCAGGGCUUGGUAAAACCACAUUGGCUAAAAGAUUAUACUGGGAUCCGUAUGUAGUAUAUUUUUUCGAUAUACGUGCAUGGUCCUAUGUUUCUCAAGAAUAUGUGAAAAGGGAUCUUUUACUAGGUAUUUUGAGCUCUGUAGUCGAGUUUACAAACAGAAUAUAUAGCAUGAGGCGAUGAGCAGUUAGGGGAACAAAUAUACAGAGGAUUAAAGGGUCGAAAAUAUCUGGUGGUCUUGGACGAUAUAGAGCGUGGAAGGAGUUGAAAAUUUAUUUUCCAGACGAUAGAAAUGGAAGUAGGAUAGUGCUAGCUAACCUCACGUAACAUAGACUGCGCUUACGGACCGCACGUGAAAGCUGGCGUCUGUUACAAACAAUGGUUUUCGAAAAUGGAAAAUGUCCUUGGAGAUUAUAUGACGUUGGAAAGAAGAUAUCUGCAAAGUGUUAUGGUUUGCCUCUUGCAAUCUCUAUAACUGCCUGCCGGACUUUUAAGAAGUAGGUGGACGAGAGCAUAUUGGAAAGAAGUUGCUGAAAGUUUAAGUAAUUACAUUGUGAGAGACCCUAAUCAAUACAUGGAUACUCUAGCUUUAAGUUACAAUCACAUUUAAGGCCAUGCUUUCUUUAUCUAGGAGUAUUUCCUGGAGAUUGUGAUAUUCCAGUGCACAAACUGAUCCGGUUAUGGGUUGCUCAGGGCUUCAUAGAUCAAAGCGCGAGUAAAAGUUUGGAAGAUUACUUGAUGGAUUUACUUGGGAGAAGUCUGGUUAUGGUUUCCAAAAAAGGCGAUGAUGGACAGAUUAAAGCGUGUCAUGUUCAUGAUCUGUUGCGCAGUUUGUGCAUGUGGAAAGCAAAGGAAGAGGCGUUUUCUCCUAUAGAAUACAGGUACGGGCGUGUCUCUUCAGCAAUUUCUCCUGUUCCAGCUGCAGAAACUGAGAAUAAUAUGCCACCCAGCAUGUCUUCAGAGCAUUCUACUCAACAUGUUAACUUUGUUUGUUCUAUGCUGUCCCAUAGAAUUGGGUGAAUGUUUUCAAAUGGGUUUGCCUGUUGAACCUGACACUUACAAAUUUCUUAGAUAUCGAAUGCAUCUUUAUAUCCUUAUUUCCUACGGAAAUAUUAAAUCUCGUCAACUUGAGAUAUCUAGCGAUUAAAUCUGAAGACGGGAAUCCAAUAUCCAACCUCAUACACCUGCAAAUCUUGAUCAUAUCAUCAACCAACCAAUAAUAUUGUUCUACCUACAACUACAUGGGAUAUCAAAUGUCUAAGGCAUCUUUAUAUUGAUUAAAUCAGGAAAAAUUCUUAUUGAAGACUUCUCUUCUGAAUUCAUAGGAAUAUUAGAGAAUUUGCAGACUAUUUCUGGUGUUUGCCCUUCUCCUUCUUGUUUAACCCGAACUCCCAAUCUUAGGAGGCUCGGUUUUAGUGGACCAUUAGUGUCUACUUCAGGGGUAUUGGAGUUUCCAAAUAUACGCUCAUUGAAUUGCCUUCAAACGUUGAAGUUAUCAAAUACCAUGAAAUAUCAUGCACCAGUGGCCCCCUUAUGUUUCCUGAAAGGCUUACAAGACUAACCUUAUCAGAGAGAGACUUAUCUGGGGUGGAACGAGAGAGAUUCAAACAUUCGGGUUGCUACCGAACCUUGAAGUUUUGAAACUGAAUGUUAAUGGUGAAAGAUGGGAAGCAAGCGAUAUUGGGUUUGGAAACCUUAAGUUGUUGAAAUUACAAGAUUUGGAUGUUGUGAAAUGAGUAGGCAAUUUCCAAGGCUUCAACGGUUGUUGUUGUAUGCUUCAAGAGAUUCCAGCUGGUAUUGGUGAAAUCUUGACGCUAGAAUUGAUUGAGGUAAGUUGGUGUAGCGAAUUGACCGCUCGAUCUGCAACAAUGAUUCAGAAGGAACAAGAGAGAAAUGGAAAUGAUUUUCUUAAAGUUUUUACUUCUGUGCAUAGAGAGAGGAAAAGACCAAGUUAUGAUUGAUUAUCAAUUGGCUACUUGGCUGACCGUUUUUGGUGGCAAGUUUCCAAGCUGAUGGAACCGAGACUUAUCUCUAUCCUGUGGGAAUCAUGUAAGUGAUAUUUUCACAUACAAGGAAGGGGUCGUUUGAUACUCACUGAAAGAAUAGUAAUGGUUCAAAGGAAUUAGAGUUAUUUGUAUUGUGUUUGGUUUGUAAAGUUGUAAACGAUAUUGGAAUGUAAAGAAGUUAUAGGAAGGAUCGUUGAAUCGGAAUUUAUUCCAUUCCAAUUCCUUCCAUUUUGAAAUCAAAUACAAUUUUGGAUACAAUUAGUUCCAAUCUCUGGAUUCUGUUAACCAAACCGGGCAUAAGUUUUUAAGUUAUACUUUUUUUUAAUCUAUAUUGCUAUUUUGCAAACUGAUAUGUUCCAUUUUUCUUUCCUUUUUGGCAUUUGAAGUAGAUCGACUGAUUUUGUUUCUCAGAGCGAGGAUGUUCGAAACAGGGGUUGACGGAUUCUGUGCUGAUUGUUGAAGGUGCGGUUUGGGAUGACCCAAGGGGGCACUUAGCCGCCUGAAUGCACUAGUAACAAAGUCGAGACUUGGCAGUUGGCUUCAUGCUAUUAUUCUACUUGGCAUGAUCCUUCAACCAAUGUGUUGUACAUAAGUGUUAUGCACAGGUUCAACAUAAUAUAUAGGGUGUAUCAACUCUUAUAUUUACUUUUUUUUUGUGUUAUAACUUUUCCUUAUAUCAAAGGCUAAAUUAUUUAUAAA